UUGCUUCUGUACCACGUUUACUAAACUUAGAAAAAUGCAGAGAAGUAUAGUAUCUGCUCUGCGCAAGAAUGAUAUGCAAGUUCGUGACGUGUUGCAUAUUUUU